AUCUCUUUCUAUUUUAUACUUGCAUAUAUUCUUUGAUUGUUGUUUUUCGCACUUCUAAUGAGGUGGGUGUGUGUUUGCGUGUGUGUAUAUAUGUACUUCUGGCUGUUUUUGUUUUUUCUGAGAAUUUAAUUAAAAAAGAGUAAUGUCUGGUAUUGUGUGAUAUUCUCAUUCUCUUAUGAAAACAAAAGGCUCAAUUUGCUCUUCCAGUCAGGGUAGUUGUAUUUAAAUUAGUAAGCAUUACCGCCUUUUGAAAAAUAAAUAAAUUUAUUGUCCUUUUGAUUUUUUUAACUAUCUGUUCUUUGGAUGAAAGAAACAAAAUUAAUCAAUGUGAUUACUCCUCCCAAAGAGUAUUAGAAUGUUAUGAUGGUUUUCUGAGCUGUUGUCCUCAACUGAGAAAUGAUAACUUUGUUUUUAUUCAAUAGAUUAUUGAGAUACAAUUUUGGGAAGAUAUACGAUUCCCUGACUAUUGAAAGUUCAUAUCUAAUGAAAUCUUUUAUAUUGUGAAACCUUAUGUUACAGGUGUUUACCAAGUAAACAUAG
rnacentral:misc_RNA from 1 species